UGAGUACGAGCUGCUACGGCAGCGAAGUGGGUGAUGUCAAGCUUCCAAGAAAAGCCCUAUACCCAUUAAGGCAUGAUGGCCUGUACCCGAAACCGACACAGGUGGGGUGGUAGAGAAUACCGAGGGGCGCGAGAUAACUCUCUCUAAGGAACUCGGCAAAAUGGCCCCGUAACUUCGGGAGAAGGGGUGCCACCGCAAGGUGGUCGCAGUGAAGAGGCCCAGGCGACUGUUUACCAAAAACACAGGUCUCCGCUAAGUCGCAAGACGAUGUAUGGGGGCUGACGCCUGCCCAGUGCCGGAAGGUUAAGGAAGCUGGUCAGCGUAAGCGAAGCUAGCGACUGAAGCCCCGGUGAACGGCGGCCGUAACGAUAACGGUCCUAAGGUAGCGAAAUUCCUUGUCGGGUAAGUUCCGACCCGCACGAAAGGCGUAACGAUCUGGGCGCUGUCUCGGAGAGAGGCUCGGCGAAAUAGAAUUGUCUGUGAAGAUGCGGACUACGUGCACCCGGACAGAAAGACCCUAUGAAGCUUUACUGUAGCUUGGUAUUGUGCUCGGGCUCGGAAUGCGCAGGAUAGGUGGGAGGCUAUGAACCAUUGCUUGUGGGUGAUGGUGAGCCACUGGUGAGAUACCACUCUUUCCGAGCUAGAGUUCUAACAGCCACCCGUUAUCCGGGGGCUGGACAGUAUCAGGUGGGCAGUUUGACUGGGGCGGUCGCCUCCUAAAAGGUAACGGAGGCGCGCAAAGGUUUGCUCAGGCUGGUUGGAAAUCAGCCGACGAGUGUAAAAGCAGAAGCAAGCUUGACUGUGAGACCUACAAGUCGAACAGGGAGGAAACUCGGCUUUAGUGAUCCGACGGUUCUGCGUGGAAGGGCCGUCGCUCAACGGAUAAAAGUUACUCUAGGAUAACAGGCUGAUCUCCCCCAAGAGUUCACAUCGACGGGGAGGUUUGGCACCUCGAUGUCGGCUCAUCGCAACCUGGGGCUGAAGUCGGUCCCAAGGGUUGGGCUGUUCGCCCAUUAAAGCGGUACGCGAGCUGGGUUCAGAACGUCGUGAGACAGUUCGGUCCAUAUCCGGUGCAUGCGCAGGAAUAUUGAGAGGAUUUCUCCCUAGUACGAGAGGACCGGGAGGAACGCACCUCUGGUGUACCAGUUAUCGUGCCAACGGUAAACGCUGGGUAGCCAUGUGCGGAGAGGAUAACCGCUGAAAGCAUCUAAGUGGGAAGCCCACCUCAAGAUGAGUAUUCCCAUGGGGUAACCCAGUAAGGUCACGGGAAGAACACCCGUUGAUAGGCUCUACGUGGAAGCGCAGUAAUGUGUGAAGCGGAGGAGUACUAAUAGACCGAGGGCUUGACC
rnacentral:rRNA from 1 species